rnacentral:snRNA from 1 species
AUCACUUCUCGGCCUUUUGGCUAAGAUCAAGUGUAGUAUAAAUUUGAAAAGUGUUGGUAAAUGGAAUGGAGACACCAU